rnacentral:rRNA from 1 species
UACAGAGGUCUCAAGCGUUGUUCGGAUUCAUUGGGCGUAAAGGGUGCGUAGGUGGCGCCAUAAGUCAGGUGUGAAAUCUCGGGGCUCAACCCCGAAACUGCACUUGAUACUGUGGUGCUGGAGUACUGGAGAGGAGAUUGGAAUUUACGGUGUAGCAGUGAAAUGCGUAGAUAUCGUAAGGAAGACCGGUGGCGAAGGCGAAUCUCUGGACAGUUACUGACACUGAGGCACGAAGGCCAGGGGAGCAAACGGG